AUGCUCACUUUGGCAGCACAGAUACUAAAAUUGGAAUGAUACAAAGAAGGUUCCCGUAGUCCCUGCACAAAGAUGACAGGCAAAUUCUUGAAGCAUUCCAUGUUUUG